rnacentral:rRNA from 1 species
AUUGAACGCUGGCGGCGUGCCUAAUACAUGCAAGUCGAACGCAGUGGGGACGGGUGAGUAACACGUGGGUAACCUCCCAUCAGAGGGGAUAACACUUGGAAACAGGUGCUAAACCGAUACUGAUGGAUGGACCCGCGGUGCAUUAGCCAGUUGGUGAGGUAACGGCUCACCAAGGCCACGAUGCAGAGCCGGCCUGGGAGGGUGGUCGGCCACACUGGGACUGAUAUACGGCCCGGACUCCUACGGGAGGCAGCAGUAGGGAAUCUUCGGCAAUGGACGAAAGUCUGACCGAGCAACGCCGCGUGAGUGAAGAAGGUUUUCGGAUCGUAAAACUCUGUUGUUGGAGAAGCGGUAUCUGACCAGAAAGCCACGGCUAACUACGUGCCAGCAGCCGCGGUAAUUC